UACGUAGGGGGCAAGCGUUGUCCGGAUUUACUGGGCGUAAAGAGCCGUGUAGGCGGCCAAACAGGUCCGUUGUGAAAGCUGGAGGCUCAACCUCCAGACGUCGACGGAACCGUGGGGCUAGAGUCCGGAAGAGGAGAGUGGAAUUCCUGGUGUAGCGGUGAAAUGCGCAGAUAUCAGGAGGAACACCGGUGGCGAAGGCGGGUCUCUGGGCCGAUACUGACGCUGGAGGAGCGAAAGCGUGGGGAGCGAACAGG
rnacentral:rRNA from 1 species